rnacentral:rRNA from 1 species
UACGAACUGUGCAAACGUUAUUCGGAAUCACUGGGCUUACAGGGUGCGUAGGCGGCUUGUUAAGCAGGGUGUGAAAUCCCUCGGCUCAACCGAGGAAUUGCGCCCUGAACUGGCGAGCUGGAGUGGGACAGAGGUGUACGGAACUUCCGGUGGAGCGGUGAAAUGUGUUGAUAUCGGAAGGAACGCCAGAGGCGAAAGCGGUACACUGGGUCUUAACUGACGCUGAGGCACGAAAGCCAGGGGAGCGAACGGGAUUAGAAACCCCGGUA